AAUUUUGUACCAUGGGGGAAACCCUGAUACAGCCAUCCCGCGUGUAUGAUGAAGGCCUUCGGGUUGUAAAGUACUUUUGGCAGAGAAGAAAAGGUAUCUCCUAAUACGAGAUACUGCUGACGGUAUCUGCAGAAUAAGCACCGGCUAACUACGUGCCAGCAGCCGCGGUAAUACGUAGGGUGCAAGCGUUAAUCGGAAUUACUGGGCGUAAACCGUGUGUAGGCGGUUCGGGUAGAAAGAGGUUGAAACCCAGGGCUUAAACUUGGGACUUCAUUUUUAACUGCCGAGCUAGAGUAUGUCAGAGGGGGAUAGGAAUCCACGUGUAGCAGUGAAAUGCGUAGAUAUGUGGAGGAAUACCGAUGGCGAAGGCAGCCCCCUGGGAUAAUACUUACGCUCAGACACGAAAACGUGGGGAACAAACA
rnacentral:rRNA from 1 species